CCUACGGGUGGCAGCAGUGAGGAAUAUUGGUCAAUGGGCGGGAGCCUGAACCAGCCAAGUCGCGUGAGGGAAGACGGUCCUCUGGAUUGUAAACUUCUUUUAUAAAGGAAUAAAACGAGGCACGUGUGCCUUUUUGCAUGUACUUUAUGAAUAAGGAUCGGAUAACUCCGCGCCAGCAGCCGCGGUAAUACGGAGGAUCCGAGCGUUAUCCGGAUUUAUUGGGUUUAAAGGGAGCGUAGAUGGGUUGUUAAGUCAGUUGUGAAAGUUUGCGGCUCAACCGUAAAAUUGCAAUUGAUACUGGCAGUCUUGAGUACAGUUGAGGUAGGCGGAAUUCGUGGUGUAGCGGUGAAAUGCUUAGAUAUCACGAAGAACCCCGAUUGCGAAGGCAGCUUACUAAACUGUGACUGACAUUGAGGCGCGAAAGUGUGGGUAUCAAACAGGAUUAGAUACCCGAGUAGUC
rnacentral:rRNA from 1 species